rnacentral:lncRNA from 1 species
AAAACCUAUAAAACCCAAAAUCCAUUUAAGUUCAUAAAUAAAAUCUAAAAUCUAUUUCAGUUCAUAAAUAAAACCCAAAAUCCACAACAAAACCCAAAUAAAUCUAGUCCAUAAAUAAAACCUAACUUAUCAAACCAUCAAAAGCCCAAAGCUACCAAACCCGUAUCAUUCAAAUGCCUCCAACCCAAACCAAAUUUAUCUAAAUUAAAAA